CUCUUUUUUUUCUUCUGGCACGGUCCAACAGACACUCCUGGCACUUGGCUUCCCGGGGGCUGCUCGCCCCCGGCCCAGAGGCCGGUUUCCAGCGGCAGGCCUUAUUCCACCAUCUUUGCAGCUUCCAAUUCUUUUCAUGUUAAGUUGUUUUUUGGAGAGAUAUAUAAAUUUAUUUUGAGUCCAUUCUAAGUUGUUCUGUCAGUGAAACUCUGUUUAAAACAUGGCUUGUAUGAAGUUGUCAGGAAUCGGCUCUGACACUUGGAUGAUUCUUCAGCUGGCUAUAAAAUUCUAAAAUCAGAGUAACCGUGUAUUGACUUCCAACAUUCCACAUUUCCAAAGGUGUUUCCUGUGAUCUCUGGGAUCCUGAUCCGCACCACUCAACUUUGGCCUCCUAAACUUCAUCCUUGACCCCACCCCAGGUAGGAAGGAUGUGUGGAUAUUUCUUUUAUCUUUCUGCAACGAUGACCUUUUGGAGAAAAAGAAAGGAAGCAGCUAUCAUAGUGUGAAAUUUCACAGCCAAAACUUCUGCAUCAGCUUCAUAAGGCAGGAAGCCUACAAAUUCCCCUCUUAUGUUUUGAGACUCAUCAACAAACCUCACCGAGACUCAUCAACAAAUCUCACCAACAUAGGACCUCUUGACCAGAAUUUAUCCAGCACUCCAGCACGGCUUGCACGUUAUCUGGAGUAAAGAGACCUUCUGGGAUUUCAUCAGCCUCCUGUCCAUCAAGAGAGCCACAGCUAAGAACCUAGAAGGGUAGAAGCAAAAGAUUUUUUUCCUCCUGUAUAAUCCCAAUCCACUACUUAGUUCUUCCAGUUUUUGACUGACUGAAUUUUCAGUGAACUGUGUGUCUAACUGAAGCUUUGAGAGAGAGAGAGAGAGAAAGAAGGAAAAAAAGAAAAGGUUUUACUUCACUUGAACUUGUUAAAAAGGAAGAGACACAGAUCCAGCAUAGUAGAAGGAGAAAGAAAGCAGACAACAGUUUGGAAUGGAGGCAUUGAGACGGAAGAGUCCAUUGGAGAUGGAAUGUACACACAAAAAUAACAAUUUAGGUCCUUUGCUCAUGCAACAUCUUGUUCUAAUGUCCUCUGCUCCAGGUCACAACAUUGAGCUACAAAGUGUGUGCAGUGACUCCAGUCUGCAUUCAUGCUACAAGAUGAUCCGUUUAGUAAGACUGAGCAAGGCUUGUUAACCUCUUGGACGUGAGAGAUUUCCCCUGAGAAAA
ensembl:lncRNA novel transcript, antisense to RGS7